rnacentral:lncRNA from 1 species
CGGAGGGCGGUUCCGCCGCGCGGCGGGCGCGCCGCCCACAUGGCGGCCAUCAGGGCGCUGCAACAGUGGUGCCGGCAGCAGUGCGAGGGCUACCGCGACGUGAAUAUCUGCAACAUGACCACGUCGUUCCGCGACGGCCUGGCUUUCUGCGCCAUCCUGCACCGCCACCGGCCCGACCUCAUAAACUUCAGUGCUCUCAAGAAGGAAAAUAUUUAUGAAAACAAUAAACUGGCCUUCCGCGUGGCCGAGGAGCACUUGGGCAUCCCAGCCUUGCUGGAUGCCGAGGACAUGGUGGCCUUGAAGGUGCCUGACCGGCUGAGCAUCUUGACCUACGUGUCCCAGUAUUACAACUACUUCCACGGCCGCUCCCCCAUUGGGGGCAUGGCAGGCGUGAAGAGGGCCUCGGAGGACUCUGAGGAGGAGCCGUCAGGGAAGAAGGCUCCAGUCCAGGCGGCCAAGCUGCCCUCGCCCGCCCCAGCCCGGAAGCCUCCACUAUCUCCAGCCCAGACAAACCCUGUGGUCCAGAGGAGGAAUGAGGGUGCAGGGGGCCCGCCCCCCAAGACUGACCAGGCAUUGGCGGGCAGCUUGGUCAGCAGCACCUGCGGGGUCUGCGGCAAGCACGUGCACCUGGUACAGCGGCACCUGGCCGACGGGAGGCUUUACCACCGGAGCUGCUUCAGGUGUAAGCAGUGCUCCUGCACGCUGCACUCGGGGGCCUACAAGGCCACAGGAGAGCCGGGCACCUUCGUCUGCACCAGCCACCUCCCCGCAGCCGCCUCUGCAAGCCCCAAGUUGACGGGUCUGGUCCCCCGACAGCCAGGGGCCAUGGGUGUGGAUUCCAGGACCUCCUGUUCCCCACAGAAGGCCCAGGAGGCAAACAAGGCCAGACCGUCGGCCUGGGAGCCUGCUGCGGGCAACUCGCCUGCCAGGGCUUCCGUUCCAGCUGCACCCAACCCUGCAGCCACCAGCGCCACGUCCGUCCACGUGAGGAGCCCAGCCAGGCCCUCUGAGAGCCGCCUGGCCCCCACUCCCACGGAGGGGAAAGUCCGCCCUCGUGUGACCAAUAGCUCCCCGAUGGGCUGGUCGUCAGCUGCCCCGUGCACAGCAGCGGCUGCCUCCCAUCCCGCCGUGCCCCCGAGUGCCCCAGACCCUCGCCCGGCCACACCCCAGGGUGGGGGAGCCCCCCGAGUGGCAGCUCCUCAAACCACACUCAGUUCAAGCUCCACAUCUGCAGCCACGGUGGACCCCCCAGCCUGGACCCCGUCCGCCUCCAGGACCCAGCAGGCCCGGAAUAAGUUUUUCCAAACAUCAGCAGUGCCCCCCGGCACCAGCCUUUCUGGCAGAGGUCCCACCCCGUCACUUGUUCUAUCCAAGGACAGCAGCAAGGAGCAGGCGCGGAACUUCCUCAAGCAGGCCCUCUCAGCGCUGGAAGAGGCUGGCGCUCCGGCGCCUGGCAGGCCCUCCCCAGCCACUGCCGCUGUUCCCAGUUCUCAGCCCAAAACUGAAGCACCACAAGCAAGUCCCUUAGCCAAGCCGUUACAGUCCUCGUCUCCCCGGGUGCUUGGCCUCCCUUCGAGGAUGGAACCGCCAGCCCCGCUGAGCACGAGCAGUACCUCUCAGGCAUCCGCGUUGCCCCCGGCAGGCAGGAGGAACUUGGCGGAAUCCUCAGGGGUCGGCAGGGUGGGUGCUGGCUCCAGGCCGAAGCCAGAGGCCCCGAUGGCAAAGGGUAAAAGCACCACCUUAACGCAGGGUGAGUAAGGGGCUGGGAGGCAGGAGGCCCCGGGGGCCCGCAGCUCUGGGACUCUCCCCUGGCCGCACUCUGCAGUGUGUGCGGUUUCAUCAUCAGCCCCGCCCGCCUUCCUCUCCGUCUCAUCUCUGUCCUCCGUGACACCUGCUCGCAGCCUCCUGGGGUCCUGGUGCGCUCUCUGUGUGGUGGCUGCAAAUGUCCUCAGGGCUAUGCUGUUUGCCGGCACCCAGCCCACCCCAUCCGCACGUCCUGCAGGUGCCUGCAGCCCAGCCCUGCAGCGUCCCGCUCAGCUCGGUCUGGCAGUUACAUCCUGUGGCUAGCAGUGGCCUGGCUUGGCCGUGGUCUGUGGGGCCUCCUGUUCUCCCGUGGUGUUUUGCGCUUCCUGCCUGUCGCUUUGACAACGUCGCGCUGUUGCUGUGGCACCCUGUGUCACCACAUACCGGAGAUGGUGCCCUAUGCCCCGUCCCCCCUGUGGUGUCCCGGUGACGGUGCCCUAUGCCCCGUCCCCUCCGCUGGUGUCCCAGUAUGCCCUGUCCCCCUGGUGGUGUCCAGGUGAGAGCGCCCUGUGCUCCGUCCCCCCCGGUGGUGGUCUGGUGACGAUGCCCUAUGACCUGAGGGCUCUGGUGCCUCCUAGGCUGGGAGCUCUUCCUGGGGGCUCCCUGGACCACACAGUCCUGUUUUAUGGCCUCACGUGUUUUCGGGAACAGGGAGCGAGCUUUCUUCUAGGCAACUGGCUGUCACCCACCAGGGGUUAGCCCCCUGGGUGAUCAUGGCCAGGCUGGGCAGGACGUGGGCUUAGGGCUUGUGAGGCCAACCCUGUGCCAGCUGGGAGGCCCAGGGCACUGGGAUGGCCAGGCUACGCAGUGAGCUGUCAGCUGUGCCAGGACAGACCCCAGGCUCCUGGCGGCCCUGCUUUGAUGCACGGCUCUGUCUCCCAACCUGGGGGCAGCCGAGUCCCCCCGCCUCGCCCCACUGCAGGAAACUGGCUGUCCCUGCCACCUGGGUGUGUGUAGAAAAAAGCUAGAGGUUCCCAUGGCUUUAUCGAGCUGGGCUCAGGGAACAAGCUGGGCUGCAAAGGGUUUUUCCAGAUCCUUCUCUUUGGCUGAGUUCUCAUUGUUAAAGCCACGCGCUGGAUCCUGCAGGACCCAGGAGCCAAGAAAGCCUGCAGACGGGCAGCCGUGGCUCAGGUGUUCCCCUUGCACAGGUGGACAGAGGAUCAGGGUCCACGGGGCUCACCCUGCCACGUCCCCACCCAUUCGGCAGAAGGGGAAGUUGAGGCCCAGAGGCAGGGAGAGCUUCCCCCAGGGACACACAGCACAGGAGAGCCAGCUGGGAGCCCCUCCCCUGACUCCCUGCCCGGUGCUCCUGAUGCCCCCCGGCCGGCUGGCUGUGGGGGUGUCUGAGGGUGGAGUGGCUAUGGGAAGAUGGCAGGGGGAGGCACAGCCACCCUUGCAGACACCCCAUUCCCAGCACUCCUUCCUCACACCCAGACCCCUUGCCUCCCACCCAGACAUGAGCACCAGCCUCCAGGAAGGCCAGGAGGACGGGCCGGCAGGAUGGAGAGCGAAUCUGAAGCCCGUGGACAGGAGAAGCCCAGCUGAGAGGACUCUGAAGCCCAAGGAACCACGGGCCCUGGCAGAGCCGAGGGCGGGGGAGGCCCCCAGGAAGGUCUCAGGCAGCUUUGCUGGGAGUGUCCACAUCACCCUGACCCCCGUGAGGCCUGACAGGACCCCACGCCCAGCCAGCCCAGGACCCAGCCUCCCAGCCAGGUCCCCCUCCCCACCCCGCCGCAGGAGACUGGCCGUCCCUGCCAGCCUCGACGUUUGUGACAACUGGCUUCGGCCGGAGCCCCCUGGCCAGGAAGCCCGAGUGCAGAGCUGGAAGGAGGAGGAGAAGAAACCUCACCUUCAGGGCAAACCAGGGAGACCCUUGUCCCCGGCCAAUGUCCCUGCUCUGCCUGGCGAGACGGUGACCUCCCCAGUCAGGCUGCACCCCGACUACCUCUCCCCGGAGGAGAUACAGAGGCAGCUGCAGGACAUCGAGAGGCGGCUGGACGCCCUGGAGCUCCGCGGCGUGGAGCUGGAGAAGCGACUGCGGGCGGCCGAGGGAGAUGACGCUGAGGAUAGCCUCAUGGUGGACUGGUUCUGGCUCAUUCACGAGAAGCAGCUUCUGCUGAGACAGGAGUCAGAGCUGAUGUACAAGUCCAAGGCCCAGCGUCUGGAGGAGCAGCAGCUGGACAUCGAGGGCGAGCUGCGCCGGCUCAUGGCCAAGCCCGAGGCUCUGAAGUCACUGCAGGAGCGGCGGCGGGAGCAGGAGCUGCUGGAGCAGUACGUGAGCACCGUGAACGACCGCAGUGACAUCGUGGACUCGCUGGACGAGGACCGGCUCCGGGAACAAGAGGAGGAUCAGAUGCUGCGGGACAUGAUUGAGAAGCUGGGUGACUGGGCCGGGGAUGCUGAGGGCUGGGCUGGCUGGCUGGGUGGGCCGGGGAUGCUGAGUGCUGGGCUGGCUGGCUGGGUGGACCGGGCCUCCAGCUGGGGGUGGGGGGGGGGCGGGUAUCGGGUCCCCCCCUCAGCCUUGGUGACAGGACAGGCAGGUUCACCCUGAGGGUGAGAGCUCCCUCCCGCCCCUAAGAGAGCCAGGGGCAGCUGGUGACCGUGUGGUCAUGGUGGGGACCAGCCCUCCGGGGCACCCAGUCGGGGCAGGUUCUCACGUGGGAGGGCACAGGGCUUCCUGCAGGCUCGGAGGCCCAGGGCGGAUUGUGGCCAGUGGAAGGGAAGGAUGUUUCUGGCAGGGGGACUUGUGUGGGCCACGGCUGUGCGGCUGCGGCGUUGAGCACGGCCUCACUGUCCACCUGUCCCCUAGGCCUCCAGAGGAAGAAGUCCAAGUUCCGCUUGUCCAAGAUCUGGUCACCAAAAAGCAAAAGCAGCCCCUCCCAGUAGUAGCCAGUAGGGCCGUGGGCUCGGCCCGGACCUGGCAUCCGGACUUGGACUCGGGGCCAUGGGCUUGGCCCGGACCCGGAACCCGGACUUGUACUCGGGGCCGUGGGCUCGGCCCGGACCCGGCAUUCGGACUUGGACUCGGGAAGGGCCUCCUGUCCCUACAAGGGGCAUGUGGACAGCAGGGACCUGCGCUACCGUCUGUGGUCUCAAUAAAGAAACCGACCACAUGGCCCCGGACUCCUACGUGCCUCCGUGUUUGCCUCGGUGCCCCUGGGCGGCCCCGCACCUGCCUGGGGUCUCGCCUGCCUCCCAGCUCUUGCCUGCAGGACGGACGUGCUCUGUGGCCUCGGGCAGGAGCCGACCCUCUCAGGGCCUGGCCCUCGAAGGUGUUUCCCCCCGGGCCGGCCUGCCGUGACGAUCACAGCCCUGCCGUCUCAGGUCACGGUUUUGGAUUCUGCGCUAACGAGGUCUCCCAGGUGGGCUGGAAACACUGAUGAAGACGGAUAGAAAAAACACCAGCCCACCGGAUUAUUAAUAAAGAUAAUCACACACACCCCUU